UUGGGAAAAGAGGGCCGGUGGUAAGAAAAAACAAAGAGGAAAGAGAUGAGGGAGUGAAAGGGUCGGGGGGAAGAAACAAAAAAGAAAAAAAAAAGAAAUUUCUGCAAAAAUCUUUACUUCAUUCGGCUUGGGAGAGGAAGGAUGAGCUGCUGGCAUGCGGCUUUGAGGUCCGGCUUUUUCGAGCAAAAACUGCUAAGGAAGACGGGCAAGGCAACAACAAGAAAGGGAAGGGGCUCGCAUAAAGCUAUGCUUGAUUUGGAAAUCUCGGUGGUUACCAUUCGUGGAGGCUUCGACAAGGGACCUAGCCAACCUACGGCUAUCUUGUGGGCCUAUUCCUUUUGUAUUUAAUUUGUGAUAUGUUUUCACCGGGGCGAUGGCUGAAUGUGUCAUUUUAUUUUACGUACAGUUUUAUUUUGUAAGCGAAUAUUUUGUAAUCAAUCUAGUAAAUUCUCAAUCAGUAUCUUUCGUAUUUGCCCAAUUUAAAUAAGUUCAAACGAAAAUUAAAUUUUUGGAUUGGGGAAAAUUUUUGUAAGCGAAUAUUUGGUAACUUCACACGUGGGUCGUCGGUCGAUCGAACGUACCCCGGGUUGUUACAAUGACACAUUCCUAAUAAAUCAUAAAAUUGCUGAAUUCAA